GUCACCAAACAGAAAUAGGACAUCUUCAACACUCUGCAAUGGUAUUCUGAAUAACAACAGAUGCCUUUGCGGAGUGUUGAAGAUGUUCUAUUUCUGUUCGAUGAUGG
rnacentral:pre_miRNA from 1 species